CUGUCUUCCAAUCAUUCUCUUAUCACCUAAGCUAUCUGACCUGAGACAAAUGUUUAAUUUUUUGGCAUAUUCCUCU